GGGCUGUAGGCCUGUUUUAUGUCUGCUCUGAGUCCGCUGCAGCUACAGGAGACCAGAGACAUACUCGCCAGCCCCAUUUAUACCAGAUGCUAAGAAAUUAAAAAUCCUGGUUUAAAUUGAAAACCCUUAAAAAUGUAAGUAAAAUAUUAAGAAUAAAGAAGCUCUUUCUGUAGG
rnacentral:lncRNA from 1 species